rnacentral:lncRNA from 1 species
AUCAUAGGUGAGACCAAGGACCAGGUUGCUAACUCUGCGUUUGUGGAAUGUCUCUGAAAGCAUGGCUUAGAAGUAAUCUAUAUGAUUGAGCCCAUUGAUGAGUAUUGUAUGCAGCAGCUGAAGGAAUUUGAGGGCAAGACCUUGGUGUCAGUUACCAAAGACUGGAACUUCUAGAAGAUGAAGAGGAAAAGAAGACACCGGAAGAGAAAAAGGACACAAUUUGAGAACCUCUGCAAAAUUAUGAAAGAUAUUUUGGAGAAAAAGGUUGAAAAGGUGGCUGUGUCACAUCGAUUGGUGACAUCCAAAUGCUUUAUUGUCACAAGCACAUAUGGGUGGAUAGCGAACAUGGAGAGAAUCAGGAAAGUUCAAGGCAUCAGAGACAACUCAUCAAUGGGUUACAUGGCAGCAAAGAAACACCUGGAGAAAAACCCU